rnacentral:rRNA from 1 species
AGGACGAACGCUGGCGGCGUGCUUAACACAUGCAAGUCGAGCGGUAAGGCCUUUCGGGGUACACGAGCGGCGAACGGGUGAGUAACACGUGGGUGAUCUGCCCUGCACUCUGGGAUAAGCCUGGGAAACUGGGUCUAAUACCGGAUAUGACCUGCUCUCGCAUGGGGGUGGGUGGAAAGAUUUAUCGGUGCAGGAUGGGCCCGCGGCCUAUCAGCUUGUUGGUGGGUAAUGGCCUACCAAGGCGACGACGGGUAGCCGACCUGAGAGGGUGACCGGCCACACUGGGACUGAGACACGGCCCAGACUCCGUACGGGAGGCAGCAGUGGGAAUAUGCACAAGUGGGCGAAAGCCUGAUGCAGCGACGCCGCGUGAGGAUGGACCGGUCCGUUCGGGUUCGUAAACCCUUCGUUUCGAGCCGACCGACGAAGCGAGAGUGACGGUAGCGACGAGAAGACGCGAACCGGCCAACGUACGGUCGACCGAGCGACGCCGACGGUAACGUUCGUCGGACGGCCGGGUCGUA